AAAUAGCUACAUCUAUUGUAGGAAAUGAAACAGAUGAGAGCAAGUUCUUUCGCACCGAGGGACGUGACGAAGCACCACCUGCUUCCGCGCUGCUUUGUUUUCUUCCCCUGCAGAACGGAGUGGCCUUGUCCAUGCAGCCGAAAGGGAACAGCCGUGGUCAUGCCACCUCUGCACCGUGAACAGCUGUCACGUGGCAGAGUGCUAACAGAAAGCAAAUGGUAAAGCCACUCUCAGACCUCCAUAGAACAACACUGUGAAGUUAGCCCCGUUGCGGGAAGCAGAGAGUUGAAUGUUGCUGCAUAGCCGUUGCUUUUCUUCUCUCAGGAUUCAGCAAAGUGGGUGCAUAACAUUGGCAAAACGACAACUUGGUAAUUUAAUUGUUCAUAUAUGUAUUAUAUGGAAUUUCUUAAUAAUACUCUCAGCUUCUCUUUC
rnacentral:lncRNA from 1 species